rnacentral:tRNA from 1 species
GGGGAUAUAGCUCAGUGGUAGAGCAUGCCCUUGGCAUGUGUGAGGGCCUGGAUUCAAUCCCCAAUGCCUCCC